AAGCUCCGAGGCUUACCUUGGCACAGGUGUCCCUUGGCAUAUGCUGGUGUUUCAGAACUGGGGGAACCACUCCUUGCUCAUCCAGAGAAACCUAGAUCCAUGUGUGAGUCGACUGUAUACGCUGUCUGUAAUCUGACGUCCAGCCUGUCGGGGAGACUCGGUAAAGAUCUCUGUGGAGCAGUGAGCCAUGAGCGUGACAGCGCGGAUCGGGGGGUUGGCUGGGUGUGAAAG
rnacentral:lncRNA from 1 species